rnacentral:tRNA from 1 species
AAGGGAGACCUAAUUCAGGUAGGAGACGAAAAAAAAGUAGUCCCUACCAAGAAUCAAUCCCAAAAGGUCGGAACGAGGUAUGUGGCUUUCAAACUAGGUUCUGGGUUCAUAAAAGACCUGAAUCAGGAACAAGGGCUAUUAGCUCAGGUGGUUAGAGCGCACCCCUGAUAAGGGUGAGGUCCCUGGUUCGAGUCCAGGAUGGCCCACCUGCACAGGUGGCAAAAACAAAGAAAAGAAGCUCCGAAUCAGCACCUUAUCUUACUCAUAUAGUAAGUAAGAGAGAAUGCUGGCUCUGAGUUCAGAGUCCAGAGGAACCUUGAAAACUGCAUAGAGCUAGGUGAAAAAGCCAAAAAAGAAGACCGCAA